rnacentral:rRNA from 1 species
CCUACGGGUGGCUGCAGUGGGGAAUCUUGCGCAAUGGACGAAAGUCUGACGCAGCCACGCCGCGUGAGUGAAGAAGGCCUUCGGGUUGUAAAGCUCUGUCGGCCGGGACGAAAACUUCGGGUGUGAACAGCAUCCGGAACUGACGGUACCGGCAAAGGAAGCACCGGCUAACUCUGUGCCAGCAGCCGCGGUAAUACAGAGGGUGCAAGCGUUGCUCGGAAUUAUUGGGCGUAAAGGGUAGGUAGGUGGUCUCAUUUGUCAGGGGUGAAAGCCCU